CAGACAUACAUUCCCUCUGAAAUGAUCAGGUACCAGGACUGAAAAUGAGUGAAAGCAUAAAGCAGCCAAUGCAAAGUGCUUUGUUAUUGUGCAACUGUUGUGUAAUGUACAGUGAAGCAGUUAUCUCCUUUUAUUUUUUUAUGAGUUGGCUUUGUUAAAUGAAGAUAGCUGGAGAGCCUUGCAGGAAGUUAAUCUUUGAUGUUACUCUGUUAAUGUUACCAAGCUUGUUUUAAAUUCCUUCUUUGCAGCCACUGGGCCAGAACCACGUAACCUACCCUUCUUUGCCAAGUGUGGAAAUUGCAGAAAAAGGAUGACAUAAUUUUGGCAGUUUUGCACCGGAAGCUGGGCAGUGUAACUCAUUAAGCUCAGAUCGGCCAUGAGAGUAGUCCAAGUUUAAGUUUUUCGUAUGGCCGAAGGACCCAUGGCAAGGUGUCUGUCUUUCCGGCUGUCUGCAGCCCCUACAGCGCUGGUCAGAAUGUAUUCAAACGUGCAUACAAUGAUCACCUAAUGGGUCUUCACAGAAAUUGUGCUCAAGUUACCGGCUGCUCACACAGAAAGCAGGGAGUGGACGGCAGCGCUUCUCUACGAUUACACUCUGCAGAAAUUUCCCAACACUGACAUUAAACUGCCGGGGGGAGCCGCCAGGAACAAGCUUAAUAAUGAAAGCAAGAAUUUUGAAAAUAUCUGAGUUGGAGUUGGACCUGCCAUCCCAGGAAAUGAAGACUGAAUUACAUUCAUUAAUAAAAAUAUAAAUUAUAUAAAGA